rnacentral:rRNA from 1 species
CACGUAGGGGCAAGCGUUGUCCGGAUUUAUUGGCGUAAAGAGCUCGUAGGUGGUUCGGUAAGUCGGGUGUGAAACCUCCAGGCUCAACCUGGAGACGCCACCCGAUACUGCUGUGACUGGAGUCCGGUAGGGGAGCGUGGAAUUCCUGGUGUAGCGGUGAAAUGCGCAGAUAUCAGGAGGAACACCAGCGGCGAAGGCGGCGCUCUGGGCCGGUACUGACACUGAGGAGCGAAAGCGUGGGUAGCAAACAGG